rnacentral:rRNA from 1 species
AUUCGCCCUUAGAGUUUGAUGGUGGCUCAGGAUGAACGCUGGCGGCGUGCUUAACACAUGCAAGUCGAGCGAGAAGCUUUUGAUGGAUCCUUCGGGUGACAGAUGAAGUGGAAAGCGGCGGACGGGUGAGUAACGCGUGGGUAACCUGCCCCAUACAGGAGGAUAGCCACUGGAAACGGUGAUUAAUACUCCAUAAGACCACAGCACUGCAUGGUGCAGAGGUAAAAACUCCGGUGGUAUGGGAUGGACCCGCGUCUGAUUAGCUAGUUGGUAAGGUAACGGCUUACCAAGGCGACGAUCAGUAGCCGACCUGAGAGGGUGAUCGGCCACACUGGAACUGAGACACGGUCCAGACUCCUACGGGAGGCAGCAGUGGGGAAUAUUGCACAAUGGGCGAAAGCCUGAUGCAGCAACGCCGCGUGAACGAUGAAGGCCUUCGGGUUGUAAAGUUCUUUUCUUGGAGAAGAAGUUCUGACGGUAUCCAAGGAAUAAGCCCCGGCUAACUACGUGCCAGCAGCCGCGGUAAUACGUAGGGGGCAAGCGUUAUCCGGAAUCACUGGGCGUAAAGGGAGUGUAGGCGGUCAAGCAAGUCAGAGGUGAAAGGCAUCGGCUCAACCGAUGUAAGCCUUUGAAACUGUUUGACUUGAGUGCAGGAGAGGUAAGUGGAAUUCCUAGUGUAGCGGUGAAAUGCGUAGAUAUUAGGAGGAACACCAGUGGCGAAGGCGACUUACUGGACUGUAACUGACGCUGAGGCUCGAAAGCGUGGGGAGCGAACAGGAUUAGAUACCCUGGUAGUCCACGCCGUAAACGAUGAAUACUAGGUGUCUGGGGUCGAACCUA